CUUCCAAACAGUCCCUGGGGUUAGAUAAGUUAAGGGGAAAGGUAUUUUGGAAAUAAAUGUCUAACAGGUUUGAAGUUGUACCUUUGUAAGAAACACUCCAUAGCCAAUAAUUUAGGCUCAGAUGAGGAUCUCAGUGAAGUAGUAAUUUAUUCGCAAGUACAAUGGCGGUUGUCCCACAAGCAGGAGAGCGUGCCUACUCGUUCCAUAACACAGUUUAUAUAAAUUUUUUUUUUCUUUCUUUCUUGAGGACUGGGACCCUCUCCUGUUUCCCCACUGAGUGGGUAAUCCAGGUUCACAAUACAUCCGGUGCUUCACAGACAAUACACGGCUUUCAGUUGCUGGACUGUUAUAAGAACAGUGACUCAAACCCUGCAGCAAUUUGUUUCCUGGCUUUCUGUUCAUCGAGAACUCCUCUAGGCACCCUGAUAGAAUCUAUGUAUACUCUAUCAUUGAAUGAUAUUCCUAAGCCUUUUUUACUUCUUCUGGGUAUUUGUGAUGUUUCUCUUUCAAAUGCCAGGGUGAAGGGUAUAGCUAAUUGAACAAGUGCCUCCCCAAUUAGAUGGUAGGGUGGACUGUAAGAUCUUCCCUCCACAGUACCACCAGAGAUCUGCUCUGGAGAUCUCAAGUCUUGAGCAGUUUCCUAUCAAGUCCUUGGUAGCACAAGGCAAAUACUCCCAGAUUCUGGGUAGCACUCACACCCUGCUGUGAGAUGCAAGCUAGGUUACCUAUAGCUGUAGGUUACCUGUAGCUGUAGAGAAUGCAGGGGGAACCAUGAUAUUGCUGUUACACAAGGAAGGGAACAGCAAAGAGAGACACUUACAAGCCUCAUUUUCCCAGGCAGUCUUUUCUUGGAACAAUGCAAUACAACAUUUCUAUUCCCACACCUUGGUAUUUCGCUUUCUUAGAAACUUUCAAUGAUUUUUAAGCUGUCAGUUAUGGUUUGUUACU
rnacentral:lncRNA from 1 species